rnacentral:rRNA from 1 species
ACGGGGUGCAGCAGGCGCGAAACCUUAGCAAUGUGCGAAAGCACGACUGGGUCAGUCCGAGUGAUUCCUGAUAAAGGAGUCUUUUGCCUGUCCUAAAAGCACAGGUGAAUAAGGGGUGGGCAAGUCUGGUGUCAGCCGCCGCGGUAAUACCAGCACCUCGAGUGGUCAGGACGUUUAUUGGGCCUAAAGCAUCCGUAGCCGGCUCUGCAAGUCUUCGGUUAAAUCCACCUGCUCAACAGAUGGGCCGCUGGAGAUACUACAGAGCUAGGGAGUGGGAGAGGCAGACGGUAUUCAGUGGGUAGGGGUAAAAUCCUCUGAUCCAUUGAGGACCACCAGUGGCGAAGGCGGUCUGCCAGAACACGUUCGACGGUGAGGGAUGAAAGCUGGGGGAGCAAACCGGAUUAGAUACCCGGGUAGUCCCAGCUGUAAACGAUGCAAACUCGGUGAUGCAUUGGCUUAUGGCCAAUGCAGUGCCGCAGGGAAGCCGUUAAGUUUGCCGCCUGGGAAGUACGGACGCAAGUCUGAAACUUAAAGGAAUUGGCGGGGGAGCAC